rnacentral:lncRNA from 1 species
GGUGGUGUGACUUAGCAUGACAAGAUAUAACGUCUCAUUGUCCUUUUUUUCUUGGCAGUCAGGAGGAAAUAGGACUUCCAAAGAUCUCUGAAGAAAUGUCAGGAUGUUUGUAUGUUACUGUAACAGGAUAAAAAUGACCAAAAAUGACUGUGACAGGGAAAAGAAAUGUAACAAGAAAAAUGUGUCAGGAGGCAGCAUUCACUGACACCAAGUUCAUGCACAUCUUUUUUCCCCCGCAAGCAGUGGGGAUACCUGUGUAAGCAAAUACAUUAAUACUGCUGCUGUAACAGACAUGCUCCCUGGCACUGACGAGCUCACCCACAGGAUCCCUGCUGGGGUGGGAGGAAUGCUGCAUUUUGAGCCCCCAGUAUAUUCUUUAUGAGCAUCUUUGUGCAAUACUCAUAAAAAUUGAGGAAAACAGCAAGAAGGGCGAAGGGAAAAGCAAAGAGAAGAAACAAUCCUGGCAAGAAUGGGGCCAACCGGCCACAUCUGCCAGGGGCUGCCCCAGGCUUUGCAGACCAGGUGCCUGAGACGCUCUAGCAGUAAGGGUCUGCAAUGCCCUGAUUUCAGUAUUUGGGCCUGUUUUCUAUGAAGAGUGGUUCCUAGCUUGGGAGGAAAAGGCUUCUGGCAUCCUCUGUGCUCUGUGGGAGGCCCCAGCCUCUUCAGGCCACACUGCCCUAUCCAUCUGGCAGUGCCCGAGGCCUUCUUCGAGGAAUAUUUUCAACAAGCCAUAGAGGUGCUUUUGAGAUCCUCCCCUCCCUGCCCCAACUGAAUUCAGAACUCCUUCAGCAAACCACCAGAAAGUCCAGGUAUGCCACCCUCUCUGCAC